rnacentral:rRNA from 1 species
AUUGAACGCUAGCGGGAGGCCUAACACAUGCAAGUCGAACGAGUGGCGGACGGGUGAGUAAUGUCUGGGAAACUGCCCGAUGGAGGGGGAUAACUACUGGAAACGGUAGCUAAUACCGCAUCCCAUCGGAUCGGCCCAGAUGGGAUUAGCUAGUGGGGGGGGUAAAGGCUCACCUAGGCGACGAUCCUUAGCUGGUCUGAGAGGAUGACCAGCCACACUGGAACUGAGACACGGUCCAUACUCCUACGGGAGGCAGCAGUGGGGAAUAUUGGACAAUGGGCGCAACCCUGAUGCAGCCAUCCCGCGUGUAUGAAGAAGGCCUUCGGGUUGUAAAGUACUUUCAGCAGGGAGGCGUUACCCGCAGAAGAAGCACCGGCUAACUACGUGCCAGCAGCCGCGGUAAUAC